rnacentral:rRNA from 1 species
UACGUAGGGGGCAAGCGUUGUCUGGAUUUAUUGGGCGUAAAGGGCGCGUAGGCGGCUCGGCACGUCCGUUGUGAAAUCGCCCGGCUCAACUGGGCGGGGUCGGCGGAUACGGCCGAGCUGGAGCAAGCUAGGGGGUAAUGGAAUUCCCGGUGUAGUGGUGGAAUGCGUAGAUAUCGGGAGGAACACCAGUGGCGAAGGCGGUUACCUGGAGCUUUGCUGACGCUGAUGCGCGAAAGCGUGGGGAGCGAUCCGG